rnacentral:rRNA from 1 species
AUUGAACGCUGGCGGCAUGCCUUACACAUGCAAGUCGAACGGUAACGCGGGGAAACCUGGCGACGAGUGGCGAACGGGUGAGUAAUGCAUCGGAACGUGCCCAUCAGUGGGGGAUAGCCCGGCGAAAGCCGGAUUAAUACCGCAUACGACCUGAGGGUGAAAGCGGGGGACCGUAAGGCCUCGCGCUGAUGGAGCGGCCGAUGUCGGAUUAGCUAGUUGGUGGGGUAAAGGCUUACCAAGGCAACGGUCCGUAGCUGGUCUGAGAGGACGACCAGCCACACUGGGACUGAGACACGGCCCAGACUCCUACGGGAGGCAGCAGUGGGGAAUUUUGGACAAUGGGCGCAAGCCUGAUCCAGCCAUGCCGCGUGCGGGAAGAAGGCCUUCGGGUUGUAAACCGCUUUUGUCAGGGAAGAAACGGUCUGAACUAAUACUUUGGACUAAUGACGGUACCUGAAGAAUAAGCACCGGCUAACUACGUGCCAGCAGCCGCCGUAAUAC